AAAUCUCAAAUAAACUUGUUUGUUUGGAUAUGAUUAGUCUGGAGUUUCGGCCUCAGUCUAGUUGAAAAUGAUUGUGCAAGCCGGCCCAAGAGUUCGGUAGCUUCAACUGCAGCAGAUUUAUCUAUUCUUUUGAAGUUUCUUUGUAACUAUUGGACUGUGUUGCUGCCUCAACUUAGUACACAGUGUGUUUGUUCGGAAGAACAAGCCUCUGAUA
rnacentral:misc_RNA from 1 species